rnacentral:miRNA from 1 species
AUAUAUUAUAGUAAAAAGUGAUGUCUUGCAAAUCCCAUGCAUUUUCACCAUUAUAUAAUAGUGAAAAUGUAUGGGAUUUGCAAGACAUCACUUACUAUAAUAUAUAAUUAU